CAACACUGGGAUUGAGAACUGCCCAGACUCCUACGGGAGGCUGCAGUCGAGAAUCUUUCGCAAUGGGCGAAAGCCUGACGAAGCGACGCUGUGUGAGCGAUGAAGGCCUUGGGUUGUAAAGCUCUUCGCUGGACAAGGCAGCA
rnacentral:rRNA from 1 species